GUUGCAGACAUCCUGUCUUAUCUUCUGGCAACUUCCACUGAAACUAGUGCGCUGUAGCAUCAGAACGUUGGGGCAGAUAAUGCCCUCGAAGGUACAGGCGUUUGUCUUCUUUGUCACUGUGCAGGUAAGUCACCAGUAAAUAUGCUUAGCGGCGUGUCAAACCUGUAAACUGAUUUCUUUCACUUUCUAUCCGCCUCAAGGACAGACUCAUCAACCAAUCUGGAUCUUUGCCCAACACUUGGUCGUUUUUGCCCGAGAUAACUUUCUUUAAUAUUGGCGGAGGAUGGACUAGUUCUACAAAUUGUGACUGCAGUGCCCUCCUACAGUCAAUCCACCAUAUCGUUGCUGUCUCCAACAAGGAUACAAAGGAACAGGACAUUAUCAUGCAUCAGAUGAAAAGGUCGAAUGGAUCGGAUAUGGAGAUUUAAGAUCGUACCAGCUUGGAUUGUGCACAUUUGUCCACAGAUGUUGUACAUAUGUAUUUGUUUUCAUCAUAGGAUAAACAAGCAAAUCCUUUUAAGUUUUGUAUCGGCUAUUUUGUUAUUUUACCAAAUGUACUUCUUAUCUCCCACUGAGUGUCAUUGUUUAUAAAAACGUAUGUAAAAUUCCAAUUUAUGUAGUAUCUUAUAAUUUUUACAAAUUUAGA